GGUAAAAUGGCUGAGGGAAGGCAUUAGACUGUAAAUCUAAAGACAGGGGUUUAAGUCCCCUUUUUACCA
rnacentral:tRNA from 1 species